GCGGAUUGGAGCAGCCGGCUUACAUCCACUAACGAGAGGAGCUCCGGCUAGAGCGGCGGGGCGGGGCCUGUGGAGGGCUGCGGAGGCUCUAGAGGGGUGGGGCUGGGAGCGCGGAGGUGGCGACCAGAGGUUCAGUACUAGUUUGUGGUUUAGAUAGUCUCUUUACAUUACCCUGGCUGUCCUGGAACUUCCUGUAUAGACCAGGCUGGCCUCAGACUCACUGAGAUUUGCCUGUCUCUGCCUUCUGAGCGUUGGGAUUAAAGGCAUGCGUCACAGCCCAUGAUCUUCGGCACGGGUUUGCUGGAGCACUGGCAUUGCGAAGCGCCCCGGGUCUGAGCCGGGAGAUGUAGGUGGGGCUUCGGGGCAGCAGGCGUGGACUGAGAAAAGAGGCGGCACUUCGAGGGGUCUAGGCGGAGCUGUGAGAAGGGCCGGGGUGGGGCUUCCAAGGGUUAUUGCUUAGCUGUGGGAGGGGCGAGGUUAUGACCGAAGGGGAGGUCUGGGCCGGGCUGGGUCCGGCUCCCGGGGAGGGGUGGAGUCUGGGCGGGGCUAUCGAGGGAGAAGAGGUUGUACACCUGAGAGCUGAAGGCUCGGUUCCCUUGCGCGUUUCUUGGUGGGGGUCUUGAUGCGGGAUUCCCAAAAGAGACUAGACAGCGGCUAGAGGUCUUUGCGAAAGAGGGACUAAAAACCGCUUGAUAGGGCCUUAAGUACAAGUUUUGCAGCUCUUCGCAGUCGCCCCUCAGUGAGGGCCCUCCGCCCGUGGAAGAUCGUCCGUGGGGGCGACCGCCGCGAGCAUGCGCAUGGGCACUGCGGCGGGCGGGUGCAGAGACCUGGUGCGGGGACGCGGGGCGGCGCGAAGAGGUGCUCUCUGCCGCCCCGCGCCCCCAUGUACGCCUUUUACUCUCUGCUCAUCUACAUCUUCUACAGUCUUUUCCGCAGGGAUGGCGGGGCUGCGGCGGUCUCGGACCCCGGGGAUCCCACCCAGAAAAGCGGCGGCCAACCUAGGGGUCGUCGCCGUCCGGAUCAAUUCACAUCAGAACUGUGGUCCGAGCUGAACAGCCUGGCCGGCUGCUCAGAAUCUGAGGAUGGCCAGAAAGGAGCGGAGGGUGGAGCAGCUGAGGUGUCCCUGGAAGAGGCACUCAUGCGUCUUGCUGAGUUCCUCUCCGUCCAGUUGGGGGCAGAAGAGAGCUGCGGGACGACUCCUGACCUGGGCAAGCCUGGUGAAGUCCCCCCACUGUUGACAGUAACAAGUCAGCUCUUGGCCCUACUGGCAUGGACACGGAGCCCCCGGGGGAGGCAGGCCCUGCUCCAGGGGACUCAGCCAACCUGCCCCGUGCAGCCCUCCACUCUAGAUGGGUCUCUUUCACAAGAAGAAAGCUCCUCUCAGCCCACUCCCAUCCUGGAUGAGGUACCAAGGGAUGAGACCCAGGAACAUCAGCCUCUCCAAUUGGAGGAGGAACAGAGAGUUUGGCAGCGGUUGGAACAGCUCAUUCUUGGACAGCUGGAAGAGCUGAGACAACAGCUGGAGCAACAGGAAGAAGAGCUGAGUAGACUUCGUCUGGGAGUGGGGGUGACAGAUUCAGAGAAGAGAGUCCAGCACCUCACAUUGGAGAACGAAGCCUUGAAACAGAGCUUGAGCCUUACUCGGGACCUCCUGCUACACUGGGGGCCUGGACCACUCCCCAGACUUUCCCAGGAGGAGGCAGGGGCACUGUUGGAGCUGCAGGGCCAGCUUCAAGAGGCCCAGGACACCACAGAAGCUCUCCGAGUCCAGCUGGGGGCCCAGGAGCUGCAGCUGCAGGGCCUUCAAGGGGCCCUCCGGCAGCUCCAGCAGGAGACAGAGCAGAACUGCAGACAGGAGCUGCAGCAAGUUCACGGACAGCUGGCAGGACUACGGGCACGGAUGGCCAGCCUUCGUCAGGGAUGUGGGGACCUCCGAGGACUGGUCAGCACCUUUACGCAGAGUUGCCAGGGCUCGCUGAGUGAGGCUCAGGGCCAGGUUUCCUGGGCCCUUGGGGCUCUGUCAGCUGGAAAGGCUAAGACUCAACUCUCAGAAGGGAACCAAGCACCCCCAACUGGAUGCUCAGGGCGGCUUUUGGAACUCAAGGGGAAUAUUCGUGUCCUGUGUCGGCUGAGACCAGCUGAAGGGCAGCCUUCCAGCCUGGUGAGCGUGGAGCCUGGACAAGGGGGAACCAUCACCACAUGUUACCGAGGACGCCAGCAUCGCUUUCGCCUGGACUGGGUCUUUCCUCAAGAUGCCAGCCAGGAGGAGGUCUUCAGGCAGCUGGAGCCAGCUGUGUUGUCCUGCCUCCAGGGGUACAGUGUCUGCAUCUUCACUUAUGGUCAGACUGGGACAGGGAAAACCUACAGCAUGGAGGGACCUCCUAGCUACAGGGCCUCCAGAGCGCCUGGUAGUAAGGCAGGGACCUGCAGGGCAGGGGGGAAUUCAAGUGGCUGGCCUCACACACUGGGACGUACCUAACCUGGAAACCCUGCACCAGCCUUGAUGCUCUACUCUCCAGAUGCUGAGUCUGGGGAGAAGCAACCGAGCUACAGCAGCCACUGUCAUGAACCAGCACAGCUCACGCUCCCACGCCCUAGUUACGCUGACUUUACGUGCAGCGUCUCCGCCUCGGGCCCAGGGUAUCACAGGCACACUGCACCUGGUGGACCUGGCAGGGUCUGAACGGGUGUGGAAAGCAGGGGUGGCCAGCCCGGUCCAGAGAGACCCGAAUGGCGCCCGGCGUCUGCGUGAGGCCCAGGCAAUCAACCGCUCCUUGCUGGCACUAGGAGGAGUGAUGGCGGCGCUGCGAGCUCGGAGGCCUCAUGUGCCCUUCCGCGACUCACAGCUUACGCGCCUGUUACAGCCGGCGCUCUGCGCAGGCACCACUGCAGUUCUGCUGCUGCAGAUCUCCACAAGGGCGGAAGAUCUCGGGGAGACCAUCUGCUCGCUCAAGUUCGCCGAGCGAGUGGGUCAAGUGGAACUGGGGCCCGCCCGGCGCCGUAGAGCCCCACGCUCUGGAACCCCUUCUUCUCUCAGUACUGACACCCCACUCACUGGAACUUCCUGCACCCCUACACCAUCUCCCGGAAGCCCUCCCAGUACCAGCCCUAACAGCUGUUCUGGCUUGACUCUUGAACCUCCAGGGGACCCGCCUCCCUAGAUCUGGGUCAACGCCCCUGGUACUGGGCUUGAGAAUGUACCUCUGCUGGCAGAGGCAGCUGUGAAUCCUAUACCCCACUUCCCAGGUCAACCUUUAAAAAACAAAAACUCUGGGGCCCUAACUGCCCCCAACAGAGCCCUACAGUGUCCCCCUUCCUCUUCUAGAUCUGGCCAGAGAAUGUUAUGCUUUGAGAAAGGAUCGCCUCCACCCUUCCACCCCCAGCUGAGCCACAGGCCCUUAGUUCUCCCCCCUUCCUUAUCGCCAUUUGCCCUUAUCACAGCACACAGCAGGGGGCCAGAGCUGCAGGAACCAGACCCCAGACCAAGUGGUUUCCCAAGUCGCCACCCUGCCCCCAAUACCAGACUUGGAAUUAAAAUGUUGUAAAUUCCUUUACUAUUAAUCGCUCCCCUACUUCCAUUACACCAAAAUUAUGUCCGUUCCAGUCUUUCAUUUCUUAACCCUUUCCCUGAAAGGUGCUACCCUCUACCCAGGCAUUUGAGAGAGGGCAAGACUUCAGAUCGGACCCACUUUUGGCUCUCCCUCCCCCCAGCCUGGAGCCAGGAAGGCAUGGUGACAGAGGGAUGGAUAGAUGGAUGGCUUGAGGGCCUGAAAAGGUAGGAUCAAGAGGAGGCACUCUACAGGCUGAGCUCCGCUCCUGGCACGAUUGGCCAGACCUCCCUAUCUAGCAGAGACAACCCUUUCUGGAGUAACCUAAUUAAAGCUGUGGGUUUUCAGCAA